AGCAGCGAACGGGUGAGUAACACGUAGGAAUCUGCCCCAAAGUUCGGAAUAGCCUGGCGAAAGUCAGGGUAAUACCGGAUGUGAUCUUCGGAUUAAAGGCUUCGGUCGCUUUGGGAUGAGCCUGCGUUCCAUCAGCUUGUUGGUAGGGUAAAAGCCUACCAAGGCGAAGACGGAUAGCUGGUCUGAGAGGACGGUCAGCCACAAUGGAACUGAGACACGGUCCAUACACCUACGGGUGGCAGCAGUCGAGAAUCAUUCACAAUGGACGAAAGUCUGAUGGUGCGACGCCGCGUGGGGGAUGAAGGCCUUAGGGUCGUAAACCCCUGUCAGGUGCGAGUAAGGUCCUACUUACGUAGGAAUUGAUAUUAGCAUCAAAGGAAGGGACGGCUAACUCCGUGCCAGCAGCCGCGGUAAUACGGAGGUCCCAAGCGUUGUUUGGAUUCACUGGGCGUAAAGCGUGCGUAGGCGGAGAAAUAAGUUUGGCGUGAAAGCCCCGGGCCCAACCCGGAAAUUGUGUUGAUAACUAUUUCCCUAGAGGGUUGGAGGGGAGACUGGAAUUCCUGGUG
rnacentral:rRNA from 1 species